rnacentral:rRNA from 1 species
AUUGAACGCUGGCGGCAUGCUUUACACAUGCAAGUCGAACGGUAACAGGCCGCAAGGUGCUGACGAGUGGCGAACGGGUGCGUAAUGCAUCGGAACGUGCCCAGUCGUGGGGGAUAACUACUCGCAAGAGUAGCUAAUACCGCAUACGAUCUAUGGAUGAAAGCGGGGGACCGUAAGGCCUCGCGCGAUUGGAGCGGCCGAUGUCAGAUUAGGUAGUUGGUGGGGUAAAGGCUCACCAAGCCAACGAUCUGUAGCUGGUCUGAGAGGACGACCAGCCACACUGGGACUGAGACACGGCCCAGACUCCCACGGGAGGCAGCAGUGGGGAAUUUUGGACAAUGGGCGCAAGCCUGAUCCAGCAAUGCCGCGUGCAGGAAGAAGGCCUUCGGGUUGUAAACUGCUUUUGUACGGAACGAAACGGCUCUGGUUAAUACCCGGGGCUAAUGACGGUACCGUAAGAAUAAGCACCGGCUAACUACGUG